CUUUCCUCUAACAUGUUUAAUUGACUACUCAACUUGUGGUGGUAGCUCAUCAUGGGUAGGUACAGCACUCCUUUCAGACUCAAAUUUACCUUCACCACCUGGGGCGGUCUCAUUGUUUAUUCCUGUAAACUAUUGCUAUCAGCAUUCUGAACGCCUAAACCGAGGUGAUAGAAAUCUUUGUAUAGAAUAAAGAAAAGCAGCUCUCUUCCCCCCCAAUUCCCGGCUGCCUUCUCUGUUCCUGUUUGCUGAUUGCCCUCAGUUUGGGUCUCUGCUAGGCAAUACAAAGCCAGUGUUUUGUAUCUACGUCCCUGCUGUGGAGACAAGCGAUAUAUUCAAUUUACAUAACCAGUAGGGGUCAGCAGCUGAUUCACAUUUCAUUUGCUUUUCUCUGUUUCUGCAGUAUUAUCAGCUUAACACCCCCCCCACCCCCCCACACACACACACACACAUCACAAUUCAGUUGCCAGAACCAACAACCAGCUUUUAUUUGUUUGCCAGGUAUGUGAACUACUGGCCUUCAACCCUGGUAGAUUUUUUUUUUUAAACUUAUGUCCCACUACAGCUGUGGAUGGCCCUCUAAAGAGCAGAUUGACAUGAACUCCCUGUCCCCAGGAGCUUACAGCUGCAGGCCCUGAGCCUGUAGCUUGUUCUGCAUGGCUGCACCCAUGCGAUGUUCUGUUGGCUUCAGGAACAGGAAGAUGGGACAGUAACACAGGAAGGGUGCAGAAAAAUAAAAAGUGUGCCUCUCCUGGGCUGAAUUUUUUUUUUUUUUUUUUUUUAAAUCCGAAACCAUCCAACACCACGAAUCUGUCAAUUCACCCUCAUCAUGCCACAAAAAUAAACCACCAAACAAUUACCAAUGAAAACACUGCAUGGUGAAAACACUCCAUCCAUCCCAGACACCGAGCACUUCCCAGAAACUGUGCUUUGCAGAGUGCCCUGAAGCCUCCCUGGCCUCUUGUUGUUUGUUGCAUCUUGUGUUAAACAAGGGGCCUUGGUAAGUAUAUAAAUUGUAUUCAUCUGAGAGAGGAAAAACUUGCUGCAACCAAAGUAUUUGCUCUCCUGUGGAUGCCUCCUCUUUGAACAGAUGGCCCCUGGGGCAGUCCAUAAGAUGGUGAUGAUGCCCAAGCUGUUGGUCAGAUACUUUAUUAUAUUUGACACGGUAACCUUGGAAAAAAUAAUGUCGCCUUUUGUAUGAGGCACUUGCAGGUUGUAAGAAGUUCAGGACAAGAUCUGUCGUCCUACAUAUUUACACCGUGCCUAACACAAUGUGACCUUAAUCUUGACUGAGACCUUUGGCCACUACGACAGUACAGUACAAAUAAUACAUUUAAAUUUAAACCUCUGGUUUGGGGCCUAGCCUGUCUAACAGAACCCCUGUAGCAUAAAGGAUUAUGGCCUUUGAGCACUGCCAUUCAAACAGCAGCAGCAGGGAGAAACAAGAAAGUGAGAAUGAAAUAAAAAGAGAGAUCAAAGACUAGCUUGCUCCUUCCUAUGAGAAACUCUCUGGGAGGGGGCCGUGAGGGUAGGGAAAUUCUGUGAGGUUUCGCUUGUGGAGUUUUCUUUUCUUUUCCCCUCCAAAUCCUUCUAAUCAGGGGCAGGCAGGGAGUUGGUUUGACCACUGAAUAGGGUGACCAGAUAGCAAGUGUGUAAAAUUGGGACACUUUUUUUUUUUUUUUUAUAUGGAGGGGGCUAUAGCUGCCUAUAUAAGACACAGCCCCUAAUAUUGGGAUGGUCCCAAUAACAUCGGGACAUCUGGUCACCCUACUGCUGAAGAAGAAGCAGGAAAUUCGAUCCCCAAACUGAGGGGUAUCGUUUUCCAUCUUCCAGAGGCCUGCAUUUCAGAAAGCCGUUUUGCUGCUCAGAAGAAGAUGAGGGCUUCAGGAGUUAUCACAAUGAAAAAGGAGCAGAACUACAAAUCUCUAAAUGGGGGAGGGGAAGGAGUUGCAUACCUGACCGCUGCAUACAUAAGGGAUUUCAAAAGAAAACAGUUUGAAAAGAGAGACAUGGUCACAUUGGUCAGGAACUGACAAACAUUUUUCUGCAAGGAAACCAGGAGAAUUUCCCUUAAAUUUGGAGCAGAUUUCUAUCAGUCUGGUUAUAAUCCUGUGAUAUUACUUCUAAAAAUAAAACCACUAGAAUUACUGUGGAUGCCAUGAUGUCUUGAUGUAGUUAAUCUU